GUGCCAGCCGCCGCGGUAAUACAGAGGUGCCAAGCGUUGUUCGGAUUUACUGGGCGUAAAGGGUGCGUAGGUGGUUUGGUAAGUCGGGUGUGAAAUCCUGCAGCUCAACUGCAGAACUGCAUUCGAAACUGCCAAGCUAGAGUACUGGAGAGGAGAUCGGAAUUCUCGGUGUAGCAGUGAAAUGCGUAGAUAUCGAGAGGAACACCAGUGGCGAAGGCGGAUCUCUGGACAGUUACUGACACUGAGGCACGAAAGCCAGGGGAGCAAACGGGAUUAGAAACCCCCGUAGUCC
rnacentral:rRNA from 1 species